rnacentral:misc_RNA from 1 species
AAAGUCGUAACAAGGUUUCCGUAGGUGAACCUGCGGAAGGAUCACUAGUGAUUAAAUCGAGCGUGUCUUCAUUGACCGCUCACCCUUCUCACCAUCCACAUACACCUGUGCACUGUUUAGCCUGAGCCGUUUCGGUUCAGGUUAUCAUUUCAUACAAACUCUAGUCUUAUGAAUGUAAACGUUUUAAUAACAUAAUAAAACUUUCAACAACGGAUCUCUUGGUUCUC